UUCAUAUCAAAAAAGUUUUUUCCAUUCUUUACCUUUAUUAAAUUAUGGAAAAACCUUUUAUUU
rnacentral:tRNA from 1 species